UGUCAUCGGACUUGCGCAGUGGUGGGAUU
rnacentral:sRNA from 1 species